CGGGUAACCUCGACCAAGAGAUCGGGAUAACACCUGGAAACAGAUGCUAAUACCGGAUAACAACAGAUGAUGCCUAUCAACUGUUUAAAAGAUGGUUCUGCUAUCACUCUUGGAUGGACCUGCGGUGCAUUAGCUAGUUGGUAGGGUAACGGCCUACCAAGGCGAUGAUGCAUAGCCGAGUUGAGAGACUGAUCGGCCACAUUGGGACUGAGACACGGCCCAAACUCCUACGGGAGGCAGCAGUC
rnacentral:rRNA from 1 species